GACGGAGGGUGCAAGCGUUAUUCGGAAUCAUUGGGCGUAAAGAGCGUGUAGGCGGCCGGUUAAGUCAGGUGUGAAAGCCCGGGGCUCAACCUCGGAAGUGCACUUGAAACUGGUCGGCUUGAGUUCGGGAGAGGGAAGCGGAAUUCCUGGUGUAGAGGUGAAAUUCGUAGAUAUCAGGAGGAACACCGGUGGCGAAGGCGGCUUCCUGGACCGAAACUGACGCUGAGACGCGACAGCGUGGGGAGCAAACCGG
rnacentral:rRNA from 1 species